rnacentral:misc_RNA from 1 species
AAUCUUCACCCAGAAAUUCCUUUGUAGAUCUCCCUCUAGAUCAAAUCUUUUUCAAUCCCAUUGAAAAAAAAAUUCAAUCUUUACCAUCAAAAAGUUCAAAUCUUUGCAAUUUUCCCAAUCAAAAACAUCAAUUUUUACACUUUUCCCCAUCAUCCUCACCUUUCUCUCCUGUAUUUCUCUUCAUCUCGCUCCACGAUUCCCAGAUUCGUUCAAUUUUCGGUCUUUUGCUUCAGAUCUUGACUGUUUGUUUUGCUGCUGGUUUAUUGUCCUGCAUACUUCAUGGCUUCCUUGGAUAUGUCUCUUGAUGAUAUGAUAAAAAGUAGGAGAAAUAAUGAGAAAGGAGGUAGGGGACAAGGCAGGGCCCGACGAGGAAGAGGGCAAGGAGGAUCAGUUAGAGGUGGAAGAACAACAGGAGCUCUUCGUAAAGGGGCACUUGGUGUAAAUGCUCGGCCAUCUGCCAACAGAAUUGCCAAGGCAAGCAUAAAACUGUCGGAGUCUUUUGCAUUUCCUAGACAAUUUGAUAUGCUUAAAAAAUCAAACUGAGGAUUGUCAUAUAUUUGCUUUAGAAUUGACAUACAAGAGAUAUUGAUACGUUUGGCCCAAAGAGAAAGUCCGCUUUUGUUCAGCCAUAAUAAGCUAUUGAAAAUGGUAGUGCAAGUAUCGAUGAUCCUUGAACUUCUUCAUUUGAAUGGCGUUUCCUCGAGGAAUUCGCAAUGGAUUUUGAUAAAAUGGGAUAUUCAGGUGGCCCUGUUCUUGCAUACAUGACUUCUUUGUAGCAUGUUGCAAAAGGUGCUUCAAUAACUGGAAAAAUUAAAGAGAUUUCAACAUUUAAUUUCCAUAACAUCUAGAGGGUUGUACUUUCUUUACCAUCUCUUGUCCUCAUUGUCUAAUUGCUAUUGCUCUAGUUUCUCACCACUGGUAUAAAAGGGAGUUUGCAAUUCUCGUGAUGGAUCCUACUGCAAUAUGUGGAACUGCUACAGUGUCAAGAUCUUCUAUUACAAUCUAUUCCAUGGUCUUUUUUGCAAAGGUGGCUUCAUUCACUGAACAUCUAAAGUGGAGCUCUCACCUUUUGUUUAAGGAUGUGUUGAUGUGCAGUUGGUCAAAUCCUCCAUUCCACCAACACUUUUUCUGCAUAGUUCAUUCCCCUUUCUCUGUUAGGUUACAUUGUUUUUUGAGCAAUUCGACGUAAGAAACUCCUCCCUAGUUCGAUGGGAAACUGAUGAUAUCUGAUUUAAUCUUGAAGAAUGGUUAUUUGUCUUAUUUUUUGGUAGUAUGCUGAUUUUUAACUUUCCACCUGGAUAUCUUUUGGGCAUUCUUGCUUCAGUCUUUCCACAGAACCAAGAAUUUGCCAUGGCAGAAUGGUUUGCUUGAAGAUAGUCUUAGAGCUGCAGGGAUAUCGUCAGGGUUAGAGAGUGGCACUAAGGUGUAUGUAUCUAACUUGGAUGUCGGAGUGACAAAUUCAGAUAUAAGGGAACUCUUCGCCGAGAUGGGUGAACUGAUACGAUAUGCUAUCCACUAUGACAAAAAUGGACGUCCAAGUGGCUCAGCUGAGGUGGUUUUCGCCAGGAGGAGUGAUGCAUAUCAAGCACUUAAAAGAUACAACAAUGUUCAGUUGGAUGGGAAACCUAUGAAGAUAGAAAUUGUUGCUCCCAAACCGGACAUUCCUUUAUCAGCUCGUGUAGAUGUUGGACGAGCAAAUGGAAGGAGGACUGUUGUCAUGAUGCCGGGCUCAGUUCGUGGAAGGGGUGGUGCAUCUGCUGCUAAUCGUGGUUCAAGUCAAAGGGGCCACGGUGGCUUGGGUAAUGCAUCAGGACGAGGCCGCGGUCGUGGACGUGGAGGACGCGGUCGUGGUGGUAGGGGUAGGAAGAAUGGCGUUGAGAAGUCGGCAGAAGAUCUUGACAAGGAGCUGGAAAACUAUCAUGCUAGUGCAGAUGCUAUGCAAACCUAAUACAGUGGUGCACUUUCAAGAACUGCAAGAACAUUUGCUGUAAAGUUUGCUGACUGCUAUAGUAUUUUUUUUCUGAUACUUUCGGAGGAUGCUAGUUUUUGGUUUUAAUGGUUUGUAACAUGAAUAGUAGAACGUCGAUGUGAGUUAGUAUAAUGACUAUAUGGUAGCUUUGUUGCUUUAUUUUGUUUGUGUCCAUCCAAGUAUUAACCAUGGAUCUGGAACUAACUAGCAAGCAUUUGCUUGGAAAAGUGAAUAUGGUGAGAAAAUU